rnacentral:snRNA from 1 species
GAGACGUCGGCGGGGGCCUCGGG